GUACGAGGUGCACCUCCGGUCGCGCGGCCCCUACCUUCUCGCGCGCUGCCUGGGCUGUGGUGGGACGCCAGAGCCCGAACCUGGAGCGGUCAGAGAAGCUGGCGUGUUCAGGCGCCGGGCCUGAGGGAGUCCGAGAAGCAGCACUUAGGAAGAUAACAGAAGACAAUCAUGAUUACAGAAGAGAAUGCAAGUGCUGUCAACCUUAAGGAUGUGAGAGUGUGAUGCAGCAGUUUGGAGGGGAAAGGAGAAGUACAAAGAAGGGAAUGGAUGCCAGUAUCUUCAUCCUGCAAAAUAUCAGAGACAAGAGGGAAAUCUCUCUAACAGCUCCUGUGCUGUGCAUCUUCCAGGCCAUUGCUACACAGCAUUUAAGAGCCUACAACACCUGUGGUCAUCUACCUGUGGGAUUAUUUUUAAAUGGCUGCUUCUCCCACUGGACUUAAGCUUCAUGAGAAUAAGAUGUGUGUCAAUUUUGCUCACCUCACAUCUCUUCCUUAUGUCUCCAGUGUGGAACUCAUUGUUAAUGCUUUAAAAAGAUGUAUGGGAUGAAUAAAUCAGUAAGUACCUGUAUGAGAUUAUCACUUGACAUCAACCAACUUCCUGUGGUUUUGUUUCCAUGCUCGCCAAUCCAUAGUCUAAUUGCGUGUCUCCAAAUUCUUUCUGAAAGGAAGAAGAGGGUGGCCUGGGAUGGCAAGUCAGAAUUACCAAAAAUGCCUACAAGAGCAUCUCCUUUGCAGUGUGUCCUUAUGCAGAGCGACUUUGUCACCCUCCCAUCAAGAGAUGAGUUUAAUUCCCUCCCCUUGAAUCUAGGUUAGGCUUAGUGACUCACCUGAACGAGCACAUGUGACUUCCAAAGAAGGUCAGAAAAGGCUUGCAGCUUUCACUGCUUUCUCUCAGCUCACUCACU